rnacentral:lncRNA from 1 species
UUGAAAAACCGAUCUUCUUAUAAUGAUGAGUGGAAGUUCAGGUAAUCUCGCGUCUUAUGUGUCGAAAGAAGUGUUCGAUGUAGACAACUUUUUCGAAGUCGUCAGUUCAUCCUCUGAAAUUCAGAAAAACAAACAGGCUCAAACACUCAAAAUUUAUUGAAAACAAAUACUAAAAAUAUAAUUAUCCGAUAGCUUAAACUUUUGGAGAUAAACAAUUACUUUAUUUAAUUUAACAACCGUAUUUCUCUAAAUGUUUAGGUUUCUAUCAGUUACUUGAUUUCCAAAACAGUAUUUUUU